GCGUGGUUAGCUCAGUGGGUAGAGCACCAGACCAUGAAUCUGGCUGUCACGGGUUCGACUCCCGUACCAACA
rnacentral:tRNA from 1 species